GGCAGGCGUAGGCUGGGUCCACGCGCCCUCCCGGGGACCCUCCUUUCUUUUUGAGGCCCUAGAGACGCGGCCAGGAGCUAGGGAGGAGGAGAAGAGGCGGAGGUGAAGUGGUAAGGGGCGGCGGCGCCCACUUGGGAAAGGCUUGUGCUGCGGCUGACAACGCCCCCCUCAGGCCCCUCCAUCCUCCGCCCGCCUCCCCGAGCCUGGUCCCCUCCCCCACUGUCCUCUCCAACCUGUGCCCCCGGUCCCCGCGCUCCUUAAGGAUCGCUUGUACCCGACGCAACUCUCGCGUCAGAACGAGCACCGCAGGCGCUCCACAGUUGGCACCCCCGUGGCCUCGGGAGCUCAGAGGAGGAGGAGCUGCUGCCGAAACAGGAGGAGCCCUCGCCAAGCUGAGGGUCAGAAAGAGAACUCACAUUUAUAGUUCCGGCUGUGAGCCAGGCCUGCUGGCCACGUAAUGGGCAUUGCUUUAUUUAAGCCUCACCACAAUCCCGGAUUGGAAUUGCUUGCUGUCUUCGGUGGCUUCUCUGGAAGUGUCUGGGUCUCUAUGAGGAGUGGACUUUUGAAGUUCCAAGCAUCACUGGAUGGCCCGCUCCUCCUGGUACCUUUUCAUCCUCCACCGCCUGUGUCGAGGGUGAUACUGGCUUCCUGUGCUUGCAGACCUCCGGGUUGCUUCACUGUGGCUGGUUCCCUGCACUGCAACCCUGGGUUGUAAAUGCUGGCACAAGGCCCAGGGCCCCAUCAUCUCAUUCCUCUGCAUAGGCCCAAGUACUGUUCUAGGGAGCCAUGUACAGCAGUGGUGUGAUGAGUAAUGUUUGUGUGACUGUGUUCACAUCCACUUUGUUCAAGAGUGGUGUGGUUUGGUGACAAGACCUGAGGCUUUGACACCAGGUAAAUCUGGGAAUCCUGCCCAAGUCAUUUGCUGUCUGCAUGGCCUUGGGUAAGGUAUUAUUAUCAAUGUCAUCGUCAUCAUUAUUUAACACCCGUGAAAUAAUCUUCAAAACUCUUAAAAUAUGAGCAAACCAGAUUUCUCACUCAGAUUCCAAACUCUCACUCAGAGAGUUAGAAAUCUAUUCUGUGUCUAUACAGUUAUAUAAAGAGAAAUGGAUUCUUUUUUUACUUGGUUUGACUCAUA